rnacentral:rRNA from 1 species
UAAAAACCCCGACUUCGGAAGGGGUGUAUUUAUUAGAUACAAAACCAAUGCCCUUCGGGGCUCUUUGGUGAUUCAUGAUAACUAUACGAACCGCACGGCCUUGCGCCGGCGAUGGUUCAUUCAAAUUUCUUCCCUAUCAACUUUCGAUGUUUGGGUAUUGGCCAAACAUGGUUGCAACGGGUAACGGAGGGUUAGGGCUCGACCCCGGAGAAGGAGCCUGAGAAACGGCUACUACAUCCAAGGAAGGCAGCAGGCGCGCAAAUUACCCAAUCCCGACUCGGGGAGGUAGUGACAAUAAAUACUGAUACAGGGCCCUUUCGGGCCUUGUAAUUGGAAUGAGUACAAUUUAAAUCCCUUAACGAGGAACAAUUGGAGGGCAAGUCUGGUGCCAGCAGCCGCGGUAAUUCCAGCUCCAAUAGCGUAUAUUAAAGUUGUUGUGGUUAAAAAGCUCGUAGUUGAACCUUGGGCCUGGCUGGCCGGUCCGCCUCACCGCGUGCACUGGUCCGGCCGGGCCUUUCCCUCUGUGGAACCCCAUACCCUUCACUGGGCGUGGCGGGGAAACAGGACAUUUUACUU